GAUGAACGCUGGCGGUCUGCUUAACACAUGCAAGUCGAACGGACCCUUCGGGGUUAGUGGCGGACGGGUGAGUAACGCGUGAGAAUCUGCCUUCAGGUCUGGGACAACAGAAGGAAACUUCUGCUAAUCCGGGAUGAGUCCUUUUAGGUAAAGAUAAAUUGCCUGGAGAUGAGCUCGCGUCUGAUUAGCUAGUUGGUAGU
rnacentral:rRNA from 1 species